CGACCCGGCCAUAGCAGCCGGGCAACACCCGGUCUCAUAUCGAACCCGGAAGUUAAGCCGGCUGCGUUAGAGCUGGCUGUGAGGUCCGAGAGGCCUCGCAGCCGCUCUAAGCCGGGGU
rnacentral:rRNA from 1 species